GCUCAGUAACACGUGGAUAACCUGCCCUUGGGACCGGGAUAACCCCGGGAAACUGGGGAUAAUACCGGAUAACGCAUAUCUGCUGGAAUGCUUUAUGCGUAAAAUGGAUUUGUCUGCCCAAGGAUGGGUCUGCGGCCUAUCAGGUAGUAGUGGGUGUAAUGUACCUACUAGCCUACGACGGGUACGGGUUGUGAGAGCAAGAGCCCGGAGAUGGAUUCUGAGACAUGAAUCCAGGCCCUACGGGGCGCAGCAGGCGCGAAAACUUUACAAUGCGGGAAACCGUGAUAAGGGGACACCGAGUGCCAGCAUCAUAUGUUGGCUGUCCAGAUGUGUAAAAUACAUCUGUUAGCAAGGGCCGGGCAAGACCGGUGCCAACCGCCGCGGUAACACCGGCGGCCCGAGUGGUGAUCGUGAUUAUUGGGUCUAAAGGGUCCGUAGCCGGUUUGGUCAGUCCUCCGGGAAAUCUGACGGCUCAACCGUUAGGCUUUCGGUGGAUACUGCCAGACUUGGAACCGGGAGAGGUAAGAGGUACUACAGGGGUAGGAGUGAAAUCUUGUAAUCCCUGUGAGACCACCUGUGGCGAAGGCGCCUUACCAGAACGGGUUCGACGGUGAGGGACGAAAGCUGGGGGCACGAACCGGAUUAGAUACCCGGGUAGUCCCAGCCGUAAACGAUGCUCGCUAGGUGUCAGGCAUGGCGCGACCGUGUCUGGUGCCGCAGGGAAGCCGUGAAGCGAGCCACCUGGGAAGUACGGCCGCAAGGCUGAAACUUAAAGGAAUUGGCGGGGGAGCAC
rnacentral:rRNA from 1 species